rnacentral:rRNA from 1 species
UACGUAGGGCGCGAGCGUUGUCCGGAAUCAUUGGGCGUAAAGAGUUCGUAGGCGGCAUGGUAAGUAGGGUGUGAAAUCCCUCGGCUCAACCGAGGAAUUGCGCUCUAAACUACCGUGCUAGAGGAAGCUAGAGGUGAGCGGAACUGAUGGUGGAGCGGUGAAAUGCGUUGAUAUCAAUCAGGAACACCGGGAGGCGAAGGCGGCUCACUUGGGGCCUUUCUGACGCUGAGGAACGGAAAGCCAGGGUAGCGAACGGG